UACGGGGGGAGCAAGCGUUGUUCGGAUUUACUGGGCGUAAAGGGCGCGUAGGCGGCCAGCACAAGUCAGUUGUGAAAUCUCCGAGCUUAACUCGGAAAGGUCAACUGAUACUGUGCGGCUAGAGUGCGGAAGGGGCAACUGGAAUUCUUGGUGUAGCGGUGAAAUGCGCAGAUAUCAGGAGGAACACCGGUGGCGAAGGCGGGUCUCUGGACAGUUCCUGACGCUGAGGCACGAAGGUCAGGGGAGCAAACGGG
rnacentral:rRNA from 1 species